AAAGACUUAGUCCUAACCUUACCAUUAGUUCUUGCUAGGUAUAUACAUGCAAGCAUCCGCGCCCCAGUGUAAAUGCCCACGGCUCCUUACCAAGGCACAAGGGGCAGGCAUCAGGCACGCCACCUUGUCGCAGCCUAAGACGCCUUGCUCAGCCACACCCCCACGGGUAUUCAGCAGUAAUUGACAUUGAGCUAUAAGCGAAAGCUUGACUCAGCCAUAGCAAUGCUAGGGUUGGUAAAUCUUGUGCCAGCCACCGCGGUCACACAAGAAACCCAAACUAAUCGUAUGCGGCGUAAAGAGUGGUACCACGAUAUCCUGUCAACUAGGGCCAAAAUGUUACUGAGCUGUCAUAAGCCCAUGUCACACAUAAGAUCUCUAGCUAAAAUGACCCUAGUGCCCGCGACCAACUAAACUCCACGAAAGCCAGGACACAAACUGGGAUUAGAUACCCCACUAUGCCUAGCCCUAAAUCUUGAUGUUUUCCGCACUAAAACAUCCGCCCGAGGACUACGAGCACAAACGCUUAAAACUCUAAGGACUUGGCGGUGCCCCAAACCCACCUAGAGGAGCCUGUUCUGUAAUCGAUAACCCACGAUACACCCAACCCCUUCUUGCCAAAGCAGCCUAUAUACCGCCGUCGCCAGCCCACCUCCCUUGAGAGCACAACAGUGGGCCCAAUAGUCCCCAACCCCCACUAAUAAGACAGGUCAAGGUAUAGCCCAUGAAGGGGAAGAAAUGGGCUACAUUUCCUAAUAUAGAAAACCCUACGAAAAGGGGCAUGAAACUCCCCUGGAAGGUGGAUUUAGCAGUAAAGUGGGACAAUCACGCCCCCUUUAAGUCGGCCCUGGGGCACGUACAUACCGCCCGUCACCCUCCUCACGAGCUACUCCUCUCCAUAGAUAAUACACCCGUUAGCUGAAGACGAGGU
rnacentral:ncRNA from 1 species